rnacentral:rRNA from 1 species
UACGGGGGGGGCAAGCGUUGUUCGGAAUUACUGGGCGUAAAGGGCGCGUAGGCGGUUUGUUAAGUUGGAUGUGAAAACUCUGGGCUCAACCCAGAGCCUGCAUCCAAUACUGACAGGCUAGAGUUCUGGAGGGGAUAGCGGAAUUCCUGGUGUAGCGGUGAGAUGCGUAGAUAUCAGGAGGAACACCGGUGGCGAAGGCGGCUAUCUGGACAGAGUCUGACGCUGAGGCGCGAAAGCUAGGGGAGCAAACAGG